CGAGAAAAACUUUAGCAAUGUGCGAAGGCACGACAAGGUUAAUCCGAGUGGUUUCUGCUAAAGGAACCUUUUGUCCAGUCCUAGAAACAACUGGUGAAUAAGGGGUGGGCAAGUUCUGGUGUCAGCCGCCGCGGUAAAACCAGCACCUCAAGUGGUCAGGAUGAUUAUUGGGCCUAAAGCAUCCGUAGCCUGCUUUGUUAGUUUUCGGUUAAAUCUAUUCGCUCAACGAAUAGGCUGCCGGGAAUACUGCAAAGCUAGGGAGUGGGAGAGGUAGACGGUACUCGGUAGGAAAGGGGUAAAAAUCCUUUGAUCUAUUGAUGACCACCUGUGGCGAAGGCGGUCUACCAGAACACGUCCGACGGUGAGGGAUG
rnacentral:rRNA from 1 species